GCGGAUAUGAUGAAAUUGGUAGACAUAUCAGGUUUAGAUUCUGAUGAACUUUGUUCGUGGGGGUUCAAAUCCCUCUAUCCGUA
rnacentral:tRNA from 1 species